rnacentral:lncRNA from 1 species
CUUUCACAUCAUAUUUACAAAACAGAUGUUUCUUUUCUAUAUUUUUAUUUUCAAUGCUUGCUCGGUUUUUCUCUUUUUCUUUUUUUAGAGUUGUGGUACUUACCGAUUCUCCCCAACUUAUUUCUUACUCACCCUAAGUGAAUGCUCUUAACUUUUUACGGCAAAAGAACAAUAAUCAAGAUUUUCUGGGUUGUAAAAAAAAGAUUUUUGAAAUCUCGCUUUAUUUCAAGCUGAGAUUCAACUGUUUAAGCUCAAAUGGGUUA